UACGUAGGGUGCGAGCGUUAAUCGGAAUUACUGGGCGUAAAGCGUGCGCAGGCGGUGAUGUAAGACCGAUGUGAAAUCCCCGGGCUUAACCUGGGAACUGCAUUGGUGACUGCAUUGCUGGAGUGUGGCAGAGGGGGGUGGAAUUCCGCGUGUAGCAGUGAAAUGCGUAGAGAUGCGGAGGAACACCGAUGGCGAAGGCAGCCCCCUGGGCUAGCACUGACGCUGAGGAGCGAAAGCGUGGGGAGCGAACAGG
rnacentral:rRNA from 1 species